rnacentral:rRNA from 1 species
UGGUGGAGUGAUUUGUCUGGUUAAUUCCGUUAACGAACGAGACCUCGACCUAUUAAAUAGUUUGUAUAAAACUUCGUGUUUUGUAUCAGACUUCUUAAAGGAACUGCUGCCGUUCUAGGCAGAGGAAGUACGAGGCAAUAACA